rnacentral:rRNA from 1 species
GACGAACGCUGGCGGCGUGCUUAACACAUGCAAGUCGAACGGAAAGGCCCUGCUUUUGUGGGGUGCUCGAGUGGCGAACGGGUGAGUAACACGUGAGUAACCUGCCCUUGACUUUGGGAUAACUUCAGGAAACUGGGGCUAAUACCGGAUAGGAGCUCCUGCUGCAUGGUGGGGGUUGGAAAGUUUCGGCGGUUGGGGAUGGAUUCGCGGCUUAUCAGCUUGUUGGUGGGGUAGUGGCUUACCAAGGCUUUGACGGGUAGCCGGCCUGAGAGGGUGACCGGCCACAUUGGGACUGAGAUACGGCCCAGACUCCUACGGGAGGCAGCAGUGGGGAAUAUUGCACAAUGGGCGGAAGCCUGAUGCAGCAACGCCGCGUGCGGGAUGACGGCCUUCGGGUUGUAAACCGCUUUCGCCUGUGACGAAGCGUGAGUGACGGUAAUGGGUAAAGAAGCACCGGCUAACUACGUGCCAGCAGCCGCGGUGAUACGUNAGGUGCGAGCGUUUGUCCCGAUUUAUUGGGCGUAAAAGGCUCGUAAGUGGGUGAUCGCGUCGGAAGUGUAAUCUUGGGGCUUAUCCUGAGCGUGCUUUCGAUACGGGUUGACUUGAGGAAGGUAGGGGAGAAUGGAAUUCCUGGUGGAGCGGUGGAAUGCGCAGAUAUCAGGAGGAACACCAGUGGCGAAGGCGGUUCUCUGGGCCUUUCCUGACGCUGAGGAGCGAAAGCGUGGGGAGCGAACAGGCUUAGAUACCCUGGUAGUCCACGCUGUAAACGGUGGGUACUAGGUGUGGGGUCCAUUCCACGGGUUCCGUGCCGUAGCUAACGCUUUAAGUACCCCGCCUGGGGAGUACGGCCGCAAGGCUAAAACUCAAAGGAAUUGACGGGGCCCCGCACAAGCGGCGGAGCAUGCGGAUUAAUUCGAUGCAACGCGUAGAACCUUACCUGGGUUUGACAUGGAUCGGGAGUGCUCAGAGAUGGGUGUGCCUCUUUUGGGGUCGGUUCACAGGUGGUGCAUGGCUGUCGUCAGCUCGUGUCGUGAGAUGUUGGGUUAAGUCCCGCAACGAGCGCAACCCUUGUUCACUGUUGCCAGCACGUUAUGGUGGGGACUCAGUGGAGACCGCCGGGGUCAACUCGGAGGAAGGUGGGGAUGACGUCAAGUCAUCAUGCCCCUUAUGUCCAGGGCUUCACGCAUGCUACAAUGGCUGGUACAGAGAGUGGCGAGCCUGUGAGGGUGAGCGAAUCUCGGAAAGCCGGUCUCAGUUCGGAUUGGGGUCUGCAACUCGACCUCAUGAAGUCGGAGUCGCUAGUAAUCGCAGAUCAGCAACGCUGCGGUGAAUACGUUCCCGGGGCU